rnacentral:rRNA from 1 species
UCUCCAUUCCCCUCACCCCACCUUCUCCACCACCGGCCGCCGCCGCGGCCAGGCCGGCGCCGCGGUGCGCCUUCUAGCCAUCCACCGCGCCCUCUCUACCAGCCACCACAUCACCACCUCCGUUAUCACCAAGUGCCACCUCGCGCGCCCCAUCAGACACGAGGUCGCGGAGGCAUCUGAUCCCUCGCGCGAGCUCUCUCUCCUCCACGCGCCUCCACCCUGCUGAUUCUUCUUCCCCUCUCCAUCUCUUGCGCUACAUCUCUUCUCUGAACCUCAUCACUGCUCCUCGCCUUUCAGUCUCGCUGCUGCUCCUUCUUCUCCUGCGUCCCCUGCUGCUCCUCACUUGCUGAAACUCCCCUCUGAACCCUUCCGCUGCUGCUCCUCCCCUCGACCCUACUACUGCUCCUCCUCUCCUCGAAACUGCUGCUACUUCUCCUCUCCUGGCGCCUCAACCUGCUGCCUCUCCAUUCCCCCGCUGCUGCUCCCUCUUCACAUGUCCUCUGCUACUGUUCUUUUCUGAACCAUAAAACUGCUGCUGCUUCUCUCCUCACGCCCCCUACUGCUGCUCCCUUCCCCACCUUGCUGUUGUUCUCUCUCUCUCUCUCUCUCUCUCUCUCUCUCUCUCUCUCUCUCUCAACUUAUUGCAAACUUUAGAAGUGUAAUGUUCAGAACUGUGUAAUGUUUCAGGUUGUGUAAUAUUCAGAUUUGACUAGUGCAAGCAACUUGUUAUUUGUUCAGUUUGGUACUGGUAAAAUAUAUUGUUAAUUUGGGAGAUUAUUGAUCUAUUAGAAAUUGCUUUGGUAAUUAGUGUUCUGUCAGCAUAUAUGUGUGUUCACCCUGUGUAUUUCUUCUC